rnacentral:rRNA from 1 species
CGCGUAGGCGGCCGUUUAAGUCAGGUGUGAAAGCCCGGGGCUUAACCCCGGAAGUGCAUUUGAUACUGAGCGGCUUGAGUAUGGGAGAGGGAAGUGGAAUUCCUGGUGUAGAGGUGAAAUUCGUAGAUAUCAGGAGGAACACCGGUGGCGAAGGCGACUUCCUGGACCAAUACUGACGCUGAGGCGCGAAAGGCGUGGGGAUCAAACA